rnacentral:rRNA from 1 species
AUUGAACGCUGGCGGAAUGCUUUACACAUGCAAGUCGAACGGUAGAGGGGGCAACCCCUCGAGAGUGGCGAACGGGUGAGUAAUAUAUCGGAACGUGCCCAGUCGUGGGGGAUAACGUAGCGAAAGUUACGCUAAUACCGCAUACGAUCUUAGGAUGAAAGCGGGGGAUCGCAAGACCUCGCGCGAUUGGAGCGGCCGAUAUCAGAUUAGGUAGUUGGUGGGGUAAAGGCUCACCAAGCCAACGAUCUGUAGCUGGUCUGAGAGGACGACCAGCCAAACUGGAACUGAGACACGGUCCAGACUCCUACGGGAGGCAGCAGUGGGGAAUUUUGGACAAUGGACGCAAGUCUGAUCCAGCCAUUCCGCGUGCAGGAUGAAGGCCCUCGGGUUGUAAACUGCUUUUGUACGGAACGAAAAGGUCUCUCUUAAUACGGGGGACUCAUGACGGUACCGUAAGAAUAAGCACCGGCUAACUACGUGCCAGCAGCCGCCGUAAUAC